CAGCUGCUCAUCGGCCAGAUGUACCACAGUGGCUACGAUGUCAACAAAUGCAGGCGCAAGAUACCUUGCAUACUGCAUACAAAAAGAGGACCAGGAAUAGAGAAGUUGACAUGGAUGCGUACAAUAGAGCGAAAGAAAGUGAUCCGGAGUUAUACCGAGAGGCUUCCAGUCUUUAGUAUGGGAAGGGUAUCUGGGAUGUUGAACAAGACAGCCUAGAUGAAAACGGUUGCUACCUCAAGGUUUAUAUAUUAAUGUUGCUUUCUCGAAGAGAACCAUAUUUGGAGGUGCUAUUGAAUCACUGAUGCUCUGUUUUAGCCCUUGUCAUGGCUCUCUUCAGGAGUGCCCCUGAACAUGCAAGGGCAGCAAGGGAGAAGUGGAGCUGGCCAGGAGGGAGCCAUGGCCAUGGCGGUGUUCGCUGUUGUCCGCCCGGGGCUGCACUGCGUCCUCACAAGCACAGAGUGGAAUCGCGUCGAUGAACAAGUCCGAGCGCAUCGCCAGUCUACUUUGUACAUCGUAGCAAGGUGUUGAUACACAGGUUAUUUCAGAUUAUGUGCGUUAUUUUCUCCACCAACACACUAUUCGUCUUGGGCAACCAGCUACAGUGAAAAUUUCUUCCAACUUAGUUAGGUUUAUGGACUAUCUGAACAAAGCAUGUUGCCAGCUGGAAUGAUAGUUGGUGGAGCCAUGGUGGCCAAAUAUACGCAGCCCCUCUUUGUUGAACUAUUCGGAGGCAACCAUUUGCAAUUGGAGUAUCUGGUUCUUGUUACCUGUAUGGAUUGAUGGAUCAUGAAUGGAGUGAGGUGGUGAUCCAUGAAGAAGCUGAGGUACCUUAGUGAGUUUCUCAUUAGAAACCAGACAUUAGUUGAUCUUUUGCACUGAAAAUGGAGUAACAGGACAUAG